rnacentral:rRNA from 1 species
AUGAGCUACCAUCAAGAUUAUGUCUCGACAAUGAAGAUUUUUUUUACCGAACUCACAGAAGUAGAUUGUGUAUCCCAUGCAACGUUCAACCUAAUGGACAUCGAGGGAACCACUUUGAGUACGCAAUUGUUUGUGUGGAGGAAAAUGCAUGGUACUAAAGCUAACCUUCCUCUGGUCCAGAUGAAAUCAAGGCAACUGGGUCUUCUAUCUUCAAGCAUCAAUUUGUUAGUUUUUCUUGGCUUCAGUGCAUCCCCUCAUAUUACUGUUUUUAAACUACAUUGCAGUGUGCUAAUUAUUUUCUAA